rnacentral:misc_RNA from 1 species
GCAAACUUGGUCAUUUAGAGGAAGUAAAAGUCGUAACAAGGUUUCCGUAGGUGAACCUGCGGAAGGAUCAUUAACAAUUGUCCAACGUGUGGAUAAUUAUAUCCAUAUCCACCUUGUGUGCAUCACUGAAGUGUUUAUUGGCAGGUUUUGUUAGCUCGGCCUGCCAAUUUUAUUUAUGUUUAAACAUGUCUAAAUAAAUUGUCUGAAAUUGUAUAUUUAUAUAAUAAAUACAACUUUCAACAACGGAUCUCUUGGCUCUCGCAUCGAUGAAGAACGCAGC